AUCUGGACUGCUGGCUGACCCUGCUCAACAUCACUGGACCCGUGCUGCCUUUCUUGCUCAGGUACUGUGGGACUGCACCCUUGUUGGUGCGAAGAGUAUCCAGAAGCUGAUGUCCUGGAAAGCUUGAAGCCUGAACAGGUGACAAGGCUCCAUGUUGGGAAACAGCCACCAGCAGAAAGCACCAGCGGAGCAGAGGACGGCAUUGAGGCUCCACUAGCUUUGCUGCUGGAAAGAACCACCGCAUCUCGCAUCUUUCAGUGGUACUGUAUAUCAUAUCAGAAGCCUAGCCUGAAGGUAUACUGCAGGGGAAUGGGAGUGUGUAUGUGAAAGAGGUGAACAACCAAACACAGCAAUCAAAGUAAGAGAAAAGCUGCAACAGCAAGCACAGAGCGCAAGGAGCUGUGGUGGGGAGGAAACCAAGCAGAACCCUGGCCAGCAAGGAACCAGGCAGGGAUGGAUGGCGUCACCCGUGGCAUGCUGCUGAGUGGCGAGAGACCUGAGCUCUCUACACAGCUUAGAUACAGACUGCUGGCCUGAUCCUGCCAGGCAGCUUAAUCCACCCUCUGCCUUCAUUCCCCGAUUUCUGCAGCCCAGAUGAUAUUUCCCUUCUGUCAAGGGAUAAUAUUCAUUAGCAGUUGCCGAGCACUUGGCUAUUCUGCUAAUUAGAGGCUUCGGUUUCCCCAUGGUUUCUCUGAAAGGGUAAGCUGUGUAAUUUCAUCUUUCAUUUUUCCAAAGACUCACAUCAAAAAAGAUCUGAGGAAAAGGAGAUUCUACUUAUAUGCAAUUUUUUUGACAGCUGUUGGUAAAACCAAGUUGUGAGGUUUUAAGUAUUUGAUGAAACCAAAGCAGCCUGCACAUCUCCAACUUGACUGAACACAAUCAGAAGGCUGUAAAAAUACAAGUGUUCCCAUGCUGUUUCAAACUGCAGUAGUUCCACAGUCACUUAAUUCCCAUGAAGGCAGAGUUAUUGGAUUUGCGAUAUAGAAGCAGCGCUGGCAAUUUCUGAUCUUUGAAGUUUAUGGAUGGGAUUGGGGCCGGAAGCAAAUAAGAAAUGCCUCAAACUAAACUGAAUUUCAGACUCAUGAAUGUGUGCAAACAAAUUCCCCCAUCACAAAUCCUGCCUGUUUUAUGCCAGAAUUCAGCUUUACUUGGUACACUGAGAAAAGUGAGCAUUAGCUAGCUGAAUAGUCUCUCUCCCAGUGAUGACAAGGGUCUUUACAUGAGCCAGUGUGUGCUCAUGUGAAGUGUCCAGUGACCCAUAAACCAGUACAAAAAGUAAGUGUUCAAUGCUGCUAGUUGCUACAUCACUUACUACUCACAUUCAAUAAUCAGGUCUUUCCUGGAGCAAAGCAAGCUGCAUGUUUGGUGUGGAUAAAAACUUCAGCGUUAUUUGUGUUCCCAUGGGCAAUUUCAAAGAAUGGGUCUUGGACUGAGAGACCACAAGCACCCUUCUCAGCUGGUCGGCCCCAGAGACAGGACUUGGAGGACUGGAAGAGGAGUAAUGGCAGCACAGUCAUCACUUAGGGCUCUGGCUCUUUGCCUCCGUCAGAUGUGACAUCUGCAGAGGGAAGCAUCCUCCUAACUGGGCAGGGACAGAGUGCAGAGCCCUUAUCCUCUGGGCAGGGAACUUCAGGCUUCACUGAUUGCUCUAGAGAGUGAUGAUUUCCCCCCCCCCCUUUCCCCACAAUAACUUUCCAUAUCUUUGCUUAAAACUGGCAUGAGAGCAGCAACAUCACUGCUCUCACUGGUCCAUCCAAAAGAGCUCUCCACCUGCAUAACUCUCAGCUUCACAAACCAAGGCAGACUAAAACCAGUAGCAGUCUCAGUGCAUGUGCUUGGCUGUGAAGCUCCAGGGGCUCUGACCCUAAGGGUGCAGAAAAUUUCCCUAGAAAGAUCAGCCCAGCACCUGCCAUCAGUCUGGUAUAAAAUCUUAUAAAGAAGCAUCCUUACUUGUUUCACUGAAUGCGCUCGGAUCAGAAGAAAAGAAGAGGACGUGGAUCAGAUCAGAAGCUGGACCACCGUGAUACUGCUUUAGUGCAUUUAAAGCUCUGUCAAAGAAGAAAAUAGCCAGGUUACACGUACAGCAUGAAUUCCUUUGCACCUUAGGGCCCAGUGACAGAAGACUGCGGGCACAGAUUCAACCGUUCCCAAGCUGAAAAAUGUUAUUCCACAACAGACUAAUCCUAUCUAAUUGCUGCAUCCCCCAGCCCUCACAGACACAUCCCUUAUGCUGGUCAGACUUCCACUUUCUACUAUUACUCCAGCCUGAUACAGUCAGACGCUGUGCUGAGCCUUUUCAGCACAUUAAUUCAGCAAAGAGCUAUUCACUUCUGCCAGGAUGGAAAAGGCUCUACACAGAAUCCAGUGAGUACCAGAGGUGAUACAACACGGGACCAAAAUACGUAGCUGAGUGUGGGAUGAGGGGAGGAAGAGGGAAGAGCAGGACCAUACCAGCCAGCAGGUAGAUAAA